rnacentral:rRNA from 1 species
UAAGGGAUAUUGGACAAUGGGCGCAAGCCUGAUCCAGCAACGCCGCGUGCAGGAUGACAGCCUUCGGGUUGUAAACUGCUUUUCUGCCGGACGAGCGAGGACGGUACGGCAGGAAUCAGCCACGGCUAACUACGUGCCAGCAGCCGCGGUAAUACGUAGGUGGCGAGCGUUAUCCGGAUUUACUGGGCGUAAAGCGUGUGCAGACGGGUGGACAAGUGGUGUAUGAAAUCGCGGUGCUUAACGGCGCGAGGUUAUGCCAGACUGUUCAGCUAGAGCGUGGGAGAGGGACGUGGAAUUCCGGGUGUAGUGGUGAAAUGCGUAGAGAUCCGGAGGAACCCCAGAGGCGAAGGCGAUGUCCUGGCCCACGACUGACGUUCAGACACGACAGCAUGGGGAGCGAACGGG